rnacentral:rRNA from 1 species
GAUGAACGCUGGCGGCGUGCCUAAUACAUGCAAGUCGAGCGAACAGACGAGGAGCUUGCUCCUCUGACGUUAGCGGCGGACGGGUGAGUAACACGUGGAUAACCUACCUAUAAGACUGGGAUAACUUCGGGAAACCGGAGCUAAUACCGGAUAAUAUAUUGAACCGCAUGGCUCAAUAGUGAAAGACGGUUUUGCUGUCACUUAUAGAUGGAUCCGCGCCGCAUUAGCUAGUUGGUAAGGUAACGGCUUACCAAGGCAACGAUGCGUAGCCGACCUGUGAGGGUGAUCGGCCACACUGGAACUGAGACACGGUCCAGACUCCUACGGGAGGCAGCAGUAGGGUGGCAUCCGCAAUGGACGAAAGCCUGACGAGACAACGCCGCGUGAGUGAUGAAGGUCUUCGGAUCGUAAAACUCUGUUAUUAGGGAAGAACAAAUGUGUAAGUAACUAUGCACGUCUUGACGGUACCUAAUCAGAAAGCCACGGCUAACUACGUG